rnacentral:rRNA from 1 species
CUGCUAUCGGGGUGGGACUUACGCAUGAUAGUUGUGUCCUCAAGCUAUGUGAGGACACGGCGGACGGCUCAGUAACACGUAGCUAACUGCCCUCGGGACGGAGAUAACCCCGGGAAACUGGGGCUAAUACUCGAUAGGUGAGGAGGCCUGGAAUGGUUUCUCGCGUAAAGGAUGUGGAGCCAUGCUUCCAAUAUCGCCCGAGGAUGGGGCUGCGGCCGAUCAGGUAGUUGGCGAGGUAACGGCUCACCAAGCCUUUAACCGGUACGGGCCGUGAGAGCGGGAGCCCGGAGAUGGGCACUGAGACAAGGACCUAGGCCCUACGGGGCGCAGCAGUCGCGAAAACUCCGCAAUGCGCGCAAGCGCGACGGGGCUACCCCGAGUGCCGCCCGCUGAGGAUGGCUUUUCUCUGGUGUAAUGAGCCGGAGGAAUAAGGGGAGGGCAAGACUGGUGUCAGCCGCCGCGGUAAUACCAGCUCCCCGAGUGGUGGGGAUGUUUAUUUGGCCUAAAGCGUCCGUAGCCUGCUCAGUAAGUCCUCCGUUAAAUCCAACGAUCUAAUCGUUGGGCUGCGGGGGAUACUGCAGGGCUAGGGGGCGGGAGAAGUCGACGGUACUCUGGGGGUAGGGGUGAAAUCCUAUAAUCCCAGGAGGACAACCAGUGGCGAAGGCGGUCGGCUAGAACGCGCCCGACGGUGAGGGACGAAAGCGUGGGGAGCGAUCCGGAUUAGAUACCCGGGUAGUCCACGCUGUAAACGAUGCAGGCUAGGUGUUGGCGUGACUACGGGUCACGCUAGUGCCGCAGGGAAGCCGUUAAGCCUGCCGCCUGGGAAGUACGGUCGCAAGACUGAAACUUAAAGGAAUUGGCGGGGGAGCACCACAAGGGGUGAAGCUUGCGGUUCAAUU